AUUGAACGCUGGCGGCAGGCCUAACACAUGCAAGUCGAACGAGUGGCGGACGGGUGAGUAAUGUCUGGGAAACUGCCUGAUGGAGGGGGAUAACUCCUGGAAACGGUAGCUAAUACCGCAUACCAUCAGAUGUGCCCAGAUGGGAUUAGCUUGGUGGUGGGGUAACGGAUCACCAAGGCGACGAUCCCUAGCUGGUCUGAGAGGAUGACCAGACACACUGGAACGGAGAAACGGUCAAGACUCGUACGGGAGGCAGCAGUGGGGAAUAUUGCACAAUGGGCGCAAGCCUGAUGCAGCCAUGCCGGGUGUAUGAAGAAGGCCUUCGGGUUGUAAAGUACUUUCAGCGGGGAGGCGUUACCCACAGAAGAAGCACCGGCUAACUCCGUGCCAGCCGCCGCGGUAAUAC
rnacentral:rRNA from 1 species